GUACUAUAUGCCUUGUUCUCAAAAGCCUUAAGCCCAUGCAAAUUUAAAGAUCAAAUCAAUAUGCGGUUUUCGGCCCGUGUAUAAUGAUAGUUCUGUGGAAGGCUCAUUAUAACAGUUAUACUCCUUAGCCACUGGAAAGUUUACAAGGAUACCACCGUUAACUGCAGCGAUAAUACUUGUUCCCUUCGGGGUGGUAAUAGUAUUUGUGCUGAAGCCUAGCUAUUGUAACCUAGCUUUUCGGGUGUGGCAACAUAUUCGGGGGAUUAGGAAUCGACCGCUAGCAGGUGCCUUCGGGCGCGGGAAAGUGAAUUAACAAGGUUUUCAUAAGGCCUUUCAGGUUUGCUUUUUCUAGUGGCCAGGCAGAGGAGUUUCUUACCUAUCACCUCGUUGUUUGUUUAAAGGACAAACCAGGCUUUGACGGGUACGGGGAAUCAGUGUUCGAUUCCGGAGAGGGAGCCUGAGAAAUCGCUACCACAUCUAAGGACGGCAGCAGGCGCGCAAAUUACCCAAUCUCAAUACGAGGAGGUAGUGACAAGCUAUAGUGACUCCACACCAUUCGGUGGGGAGGUAUUGUCUUCUGACGAUUUUCCAUGAUUUGGGUGUAGUUAACCCUUAGAGUAGCCAUUG
rnacentral:rRNA from 1 species